rnacentral:tRNA from 1 species
GCACUGUAGCUAUAAAAGUAUGAGAUUUUUAAUCUUGGGAUCCAAUCUUAAGGUUGGCAGAGCUAU